AUGGCCGCCGACGUCUUCAUGUGCUCCCCACGCCGGCCCCGCAAUCGGGGCCGCCCGGUGCUGCUCAAGCCCCAGGUGCCCGAGGACAACGACGACUCGGACACGGAUGAGCCGUCUCCGGUGCGGCCACCACGGCUCGGGCUCACUCGAGCACCGCGCCGCCGCCGCCCCGGGCAGGGCUGGGCCGCGACGAGCCUCCGCGCCGCCAGCAGAUCAUUCACAGCGGCCAUUUCAUGGUGUCGUCGCCUCACCGGGAGCACCCGCCCAAGAAGGGCUAUGAUUUCGACACGGUCAACAAGCAGACAUGCCAGACCUACAGCUUCGGCAAGACCAGCUCCUGCCACCUGUCCGUCGACACCUCGCCCACCAAGCUGUUCAAGUGCAUGACUUUGGCCUACAGUGGGAAGUUGGUGUCUCCAAAGUGGAAGAAUUUCAAGGACCUGAAGCUCCAGUGGAGAGACAAGAUCCGGCUCAAUAAUGCCAUCUGGCGGGCCUGGUACAUGCAGUGUCUGGAGAAGGGCAAGAAUCCUGUAUGACGCCCCUGGACGGCUCUGUGGAUGUAGAGAAGCACUGCCGGCCUGAGGCCAUCACCACGGAAGAGAAGUACUGGAAGAGCCGCAUGGAGAUUGUGAUCCGGGAGUAUCACAAGUGGAGAACCUACUUCAAGAAAAGGCUACAGCAGCACAAGGAUGAAGACCUCUCCAGCUUGGCCCAGGACUAUGACAUGCUGUACUGGCACAAGCACAGGGAUGGAUGGAAGACCCCCAUCCCCAUAGAGGAGCACCCCCUGCUGGACACAGACAUGCUCAUGUCAGAAUUCAUCCACACCCUCUUCUCCAGGCUGUCUUCACACCAGCCAGUAGCCUGACCCGAUCCCAGGGAAAUAGCAAAUCUGGGAAAUGCGGACAUGAUCCAGCCAGGGCUGAUGCCUCUGCAGCCUAACCUGGACUUCAUGGACACCUUCGAGCCUUUCCAGGACCUCUUCUCUUCUAGCCGCUCCAUUUUUGGCUCCAUGCUACCUGCACCUGCCUCAACACCUGUACCAGAUUCCAACAACCCACCUGCACAGGAGAGCAUCCUGCAUACCACCACCCUCCCCACCAUGAGCCUUCCUGACAGCAUCAUCGAGCCCCAUGCUGCCCCAUCCCUGGAUCCUGUGGAUGGGCAGGUCUGUGAACACGCUUCCCAGACUGAGGACCCGUUUAUCCAGCCCACAGACUUCAGUACCUCAGAGCCGCCUCUGAGUGUCCCGCAGCCCUUUCUACCAGUCUUCACCAUGCCCCUGCUGUCCCCCAGCCCCGCCCCGCCACCUGUGUCCCCCUUGUUACUGAUAGUUCCUCCUCAGCCACUGCCCUGAACCCUCCAGCUCCACCCACCUUCCAGCAGCCACAGAAGUUUGUUGGAGUCAGCAAACCGCCGUCUGUCAUCACCCACACAGCCUUCGCCACCCUCACCCAUGAUGCCUCCACCACCACCUUCAGCCAGAGGCCCUGACUGAAGGGCCACCCAUCACCACCCAUCACCUUGCCCCACAGUGAACCCCUGUGGCCUGACACUGUCUCCUGUCACCCGGCCUCCCCAGCCUCAGUUAACUUCUGUGCACCCCAAACCUGUAUCCUUGAUGGGGGGAAGGCCUAAGCAGCCUCACAAAAUAGUGCCUGCUCCCAAACCAGAGCCCGUGUCCUUGGUGUUGAAGAACACCUGCAUCACCCCAGCUCCCUUUUCAGGCCAGCCACAAGCGGUGAUCAUGACAUCAGGGCCUCUGAAGAGAGAAGGGAUGUUGGCCUCCACGGUGUCCCAGUCCAAUGUGGUCAUUGCACCUGCCGCCAUCGCCAGGGCUCCUGGGGUCCCAGAGUUCCACAGCAGCAUCCUGGUGACAGAUCUCGGCCACAGCACGAGCAACCCACCUGCCCCCAUCUCCCAGCUCUUCCCAAGCACAGCAUAAGACCCUGGGGAAGGCCGAGCAGGUCCCGCUGCAUGGGGGCAGCCCCCAGGUCACUGUCACAGGGCCUAGUCUGGACUGCCCAAACUCAGGGCAGGCCUCUCAGUGCACAUCAGAGCAGAGCCCCAGCCCUCAGUUUCCCCAGAACAACUGCUCAGGAAAAUCUGACCCCAAAAAUGUGGCUGCAUUAAAGAACCGGCAGAUGAAACACAUCUCAGCUGAGCAGAAAAGGUGCUUCAACAUUAAGAUGGGCUUCGAUGCACUCAACAUCCUCAUCUCAAACAAUUCCAGGCUGACCAGCCAUGCCAUCACGCUGCAGAAGACCAUGGAGUACAUCACUAAGCUGCAGCAGGAGAGGGGCCAGAUGCAAGAGGAGGCCCGGCGGCUGCGGGAGGAGAUCGAAAGGAGCUCAAUGCCGCUAUCAUCUCCUGCCAGCAGCUGUUCCCUGCCACGGGAGUCCCCGUCACCCAGUUCAAUCACAUGAGAGACAUGUUUGAUGAAUACGUGAAAAGCCAGACCUGCAGAAUUGGAACUUCUGGAUUUUCAGCAUCAUCAUCAAGCCGCUGUUCGAGUCGUUCAAGGGCAUGGUGUCCAUCAGCAGCCUGGAGGAGCUGCACUGCACGGCACUGUCCUGGCUGGACCAGCACUGCUCCCUGCCCAUCCUCAGGCCAAUGGUGCUGAACACAUUGCGGCAGCUGAGCACCUCCUCCCCCAUCCUCACAGACCCAGCGCAGCUGCCAGAGCAGGCGUCUGAGGCCCUCACCAGGAUUGGCAAGAGACUGGGGGAGUCUUAGCUGCUUAGCUGGCACGUGGCCGCAUGAGAUGCCAGGAGACCCUUCCCUGCCCAUGGAGAGGAGGCUGCACCGCCCCCAGCCCUUCCUUACACUCAGCCUCAGUGCCUCCCUCCAACUCUGCUGGCCCACCGCACCGUUGGGAGGCCUUGCUCAGGUCUGAAGCAGGUUCGGGGCCUGCUGACAGCAAUAGCCCACCUUUGGGACCCCCUUCCUGUGAACUCUCUUACUCAGUGUCCUCAGUCACCAACCUCCACUGCCCUUGGGGCAGACAAAGGGAAGUGGCUGGCCAUGCUGGUCUGCCCUCCUGGUGGCCUGCCAGACUGAGCGCCGGUCCUGUCCUGAGACCCAGCCUUGUCCCUUCUGCCAUGCUUGUCCACGCGCAUGCCUCA